ACAGGGAUUGCCUUAGUAACGGCGAGUGAAGCGGCAACAGCUCAAAUUUGAAAUCUGGCCCUCGGGUCCGAAUUGUAAUUUGUAGAGGAUGAUUUUGGUGCGGUAUCUUCCGAGUUCCUUGGAACAGGACGCCUUAGAGGGUGAGAGCCCCGUACGGUUGAAUGCCUAGCCUCUGUAAAUCUCCUUCGACGAGUCGAGUAGUUUGGGAAUGCUGCUCUAAAUGGGAGGUAAAUUUCUUCUAAAGCUAAAUAUUGGCCAGAGACCGAUAGCGCACAAGUAGAGUGAUCGAAAGAUGAAAAGCACUUUGAAAAGAGGGUUAAAUAGCACGUGAAAUUGUUGAAAGGGAAGGAUUUGUGACCAGACUUUUUCUGGGCGGAUCAUCCGGGGUUCUCUCCGGUGCACUUUGCCCAGUAAAGGCCAGCAUCGAUUUUCGGCGGCGGAUAAAAGCAGUGGGAAUGUGGCUCCCUACGGGGAGUGUUAUAGCCCAUUGUAUAAUACGCUGCUGGGGAUCGAGGUACGCGCUUCUGCAAGGAUGCUGGCGUAAUGGUUAUCAAUCACCCGUCUUGAAACACGGACCAAGGAGUCGAACAUUUAUGCGAGUGUUUGGGUGUUAAACCCUCACGCGUAAUGAAAGUGAACGGAGGUGAGAGCCCGUACGGGUGCAUCAUCGACCGAUCCUGAAGUUUUCGGAUGGAUUUGAGUAAGAGCAUAACUGUUCGGACCCGAAAGAUGGUGAACUAUGCGUGGAUAGGGUGAAGCCAGAGGAAACUCUGGUGGAGGCUCGCAGCGGUUCUGACGUGCAAAUCGAUCGUCAAAUCUGCGCAUGGGGGCGAAAGACUAAUCGAACCAUCUAGUAGCUGGUUACCG
rnacentral:rRNA from 1 species